UACGGAGGAUUCAAGCGUUAUCCGGAUUUAUUGGGUUUAAAGGGUGCGUAGGCGGUUUGAUAAGUUAGAGGUGAAAUGUUAGGGCUUAACCCUGAAACUGCCUCUAAUACUGUUGAGCUAGAGAGUAGUUGCGGUAGGCGGAAUGUAUGGUGUAGCGGUGAAAUGCUUAGAGAUCAUACAGAACACCGAUUGCGAAGGCAGCUUACCAAACUAUAUCUGACGUUGAGGCACGAAAGCGUGGGGAGCAA
rnacentral:rRNA from 1 species